rnacentral:rRNA from 1 species
AUAGCGUAUAUUAAAGUUGUUGCAGUUAAAAAGCUCGUAGUUGAAUUUUAGGCCCGGUUGGAUGGUCUGCUCUCGGGUUUGUACUGUCCUGACUGGGUCUUACCUUCUGGUGAGCUGUCGUGUUGUUUACUCAGUGCGGCAGGGAACCAGGACUUUUACUUUGAAAAAAUUAGAGUGUUUAAAGCAGGCAUUCGCUUGAAUACAUUAGCAUGGAAUAAUAAAAUAGGACUUUGGUUCUAUUUUGUUGGUUUCUAGGACCGAAGUAAUGAUUAAUAGGGAUAGUUGGGGGCAUUAGUAUUUAAUUGUCAGAGGUGAAAUUCUUGGAUUUAUGAAAGACUAACUUCUG